rnacentral:lncRNA from 1 species
UCGUCAGGAAGAACUUAUAAGAGAAUAAAACUCUCACUAGAACAAUCUAGAAGUGAAGAAACUCUCACUAAAACAUUUUAGGAGAGAAAAUUAUUCAUUAGAAAAUCUUAGAAGAGAAUUUAUUCAAAUAAAAGAAAUUAAAAACUAUAAAAAGUACUUCCCAGAUUUGGUCUCUCUCCCACGAGAGAGAUGAAAAAGAUCUUCGUGCGAGCACGAUGCAGGCAGAACCGGUGUUGAUGGUAGUGGUGGUGGGAUUACCGGGGCCAGUUCAGGUGCCUUGGGAGGUUCUUCGGGCCCCGGAAUCUUCAGCCUUUCAACUACUCUUAUGUGGUUUUUGGCUUGUUUUGGUUUCUCAGCCAGAGCCACUGGGGGCUGCUCGUGCUCUUUAGGCUUCUUCGGCGGCUCGGGCUUCCUGGGCUUCUCAGGCUUCUCGGACUUCUCAUUUACUGGGUCCUUUUGGUUUUUCAACCACAACCACUGGGGGCUUAGGUUCCUUGGGCGGCUUAGGUUCCUGCUUAGGUGUCUCGGGCGGCUUGGUGGAUAGCGCCAUGAUCUUAAUGCUCUUAAUGACUUUGCCACCCUUGCAACAUAAUUUGUCUACGGAUUUCUACAGGUGCUACAGCACACCACGGUGAUGGUCACCAGAUUUUGCUUCUCAUCAUCUACCUGGUCCCUGAUUUCUCUUGUCAAAAAAAAAAAGAAGAAAAACUCAAAAUUUUUUCUUUUUUUUUUUUUGUGGAGGGUGGGGGAGAGGAAGAGUAGAGGAGUGGGGAAGGGAUGUAGGCAGCAAUAUACUAAACUGAUGCUAGUAAAUGGUUGAAGAAUUAGACAGUAGGACGCAAUUGGGUAGAAAAAAUUGUGAGGACUUUAUGUAGAAAGAUAGCAACCGGGCAGCAUGCAGUACUAACUACAAGUAUGGAAGGAAGGAGGGUGGAAAUGAAAUGAAAGGGGGCGUUGAAUUUUAAUGUGAGUUGUGCGGAGCAGUGACAGUUUAUCCUCCCCUCCAUCAACAUCCAUACUCCGUUGCUGCCUUUGAAUUGAUAAGCCCACCUCACCUUCCAAAAUAUAUUUAUAUUACCUCAUCAUUCACGUAUUCAUAAUCCCCACAAAAGCACGACUUAAGCAAAUUUUGAGAUUUGAGAGCCGGCACCACCUACCGCGUCGUUUUCCUUCAUCCAACUCCAAUCGAGAGAGAGAGAGACAGAGAGAUCAGACUUCACCAGUACUGCAAAUAGAAGGACUUCAACUUGAGGGACUUGCAAGUUAUAGUAUUAUGUCACACUAAUCGCAAGUCC